rnacentral:rRNA from 1 species
UGCCUUUAGGAUAAAAGAUUUAAGGUAUGUCCUGCCCGGUGAAUUACGGUUUUAACGGCCGCGGUACUCUGACCGUGCAAAGGUAGCAUAAUCAUUCGCCUUUUGAUUGGAGGCUAGUAUGAAUGGAUUAAUGAGGGGCCUUUUGUCUCUUCCAUUUUAUUAAAAAUUAGUAUUUAGGUGAAGAAACCUAAAUUUAGUUAAAAGACAAGAAGACCCUAUCGAGUUUUAUUUAUGUGUAUUAUCUUGAGAGUUAGGGUUUAAUAUCUUGAGUUUAUAUUUAAUAAAUUUGGUUGGGGCGACUAAGAAACAAUAAAAGCUUUCUUCAAAGUUAAGAAGUUAAUCUAUGUAAUGAUCCACUUUAUGUGAUUGAAAGAAAAAUACUACCGUAGGGAUAACAGGCUAAUUUUCUUAGAGAGUUCAAAUUGACAGGAAAGAUUGGCACCUCGAUGUUGGCUUAGGAUAUCCUUUGUAUGCAGCAGUACAAAAAGGUUGGUUUGUUCAACCAUUAAAAUCCUACGUG